GGAUCAAUAUGUUGGUCGUGCCUUGGUACGUACUAAUUUAUUGGUUUCUUCCUUCUGACGAACCUUGAUGUCAUUAAUUUGGUGUCUUGGGGAACCAGGACUUUUACUGUGAAAAAAUUAGAGUGUUCAAAGCAGGCAAUCGCUUGGAUACAUUAGCAUGGAAUAAUGGAAUAGGACAAUGGUUCUAUUUGUUGGUUUCUAGGACCGUUGUA
rnacentral:rRNA from 1 species